rnacentral:rRNA from 1 species
GGAUUAGAUACCCUGGUAGUCCACGCCGUAAACGAUGUCUACUAGCCGUUGGGAUCCUUGAGAUUUUAGUGGCGCAGCUAACGCACUAAGUAGACCGCCUGGGGAGUACGGUCGCAAGAUUAAAACUCAAAUGAAUUGACGGGGGCCCGCACAAGCGGUGGAGCAUGUGGUUUAAUUCGACGCAACGCGAAGAACCUUACCAGGUCUUGACAUCCAGAGAACUUAGCAGAGAUGCUUUGGUGCCUUCGGGAGCUCUGAGACAGGUGCUGCAUGGCUGUCGUCAGCUCGUGCUG